GCCCCAGUGGCGCAAUUGGUUAGCGCACGGUACUCAUAAUGCCGGGGUUGUGAGUUCGAGCCUCACCUGGGGCA
rnacentral:tRNA from 1 species